UUGUUAUCUUCCUUCUCCCGUCUCUUCUCUUUUUUGGCUUUGUUUGGAAAGUGGAAAAUCCUCGCAAGUGGUUUGGUGCCUUUUGUUCCCUUGCAUCCUGCUUUGGUCCGAAAAUAGAAAAGGUUUUGCAGUAAAAUUUCUGUUCAUUCCAGGUUAGUUUACCUCUGAUUUGUAUCAUUAAUUUGCUGAAAUUUUUGUUAAUAUUAUAUGGGCUGAUAUUUUAAAUAUUGUAAUAUUAGUGUU